UCGUUCUUACCCCAAAGAAAAAAAUUAAAAGAAAAGGGAUAUCUCUCUCCUUUAUCCUCCCACUACUUCCAGACUUGUUGUUACCCACGACUCCACGAGAGAAACUUCCAGACUUACAAACUCAAAAUUUUCCUCAAACUUUCCCAGAUUCACUCAAUCCAAAAUAUCUCAAAUAUAAAAUUCAUGAGUACUUCGGUCCAAAUCUACAAGGUUUUGGUUUUCGGCCUCUUCUCCGGUGAACGUUUUUCGACGACGACUUUUACUUGUAAAAACUCAAGUUGUGGCUGAAUUAUCAAUUGUGAGUAUGCCUUUUAAAUUAGCAACUAUUUCGUUUUUAAGGUUUUGAAUAGGAUUUUGAUAUGUUGGUUUAUCAACUAGUGGUACUUCGAUGUUGAGGAUUUAUCUAGGUUUUUGAAUUUUUCGAUCUUUUAGGAAUUAGGAAUUAGGUUUAUGAAUUUUUUUUCUUUUAGGAAUUAGGUUUAUGAUUAUUUUGAUUUUUUUUAAAAGAUUUUUGUUAAUUGAAGUUAAUUUCAUUAUAUUUCUCCGCUCUAUUUUCCCCCAAUUCAAUUUUUUUUUUGGAAUCAAUCCCCCAAACUUAUACCCUGCUUUGGAAUUUUAGGGUUUUUGGUUGAAUAGAAUUUCGAAAUUAAGAAUCAAACUUUGUAAUUUAAAUGGAAUUUGGCAUUUAGGGUUAACCUUGAAAUAUAUCUUUCUCCAAUUUUAACUUUGAUUUCUGUUUUAAAGGUUGGUUCGAUUUUAAUGUCGUUGAUAUUUAUGGAACCAAAUUCAAUCAUCAAAUUACAAAAUUUACGAUUUCAGCUUUUGUAACACGUACUUUGAUAUUUACUUUGCUGUGUCCAAUUAACUUUUCUUGCCAUAUCUCAUUAGUGUGUGUUCUGGAUUGCAAGGGAGCCUGAUCCCCAUGAAUUCCUAUUUACGUCUGCACCCUGUAUUUUCUAGCCAGGGCGUAAUGACUGUUAUUGUCUCAGUUAGGUGUGAAGAGAGUCGUCUGACUCUUAUGGCUACGUAUUCUGAAUUCUUAUAUGGCCUCGGCGUACUUCAACAAGACUAAUGUAUGUGUAAUUGCAUUACACAUCUUAAUUCCUUUGGAAAUAAUCAUAACGUUUUGAAAAUAAUGUCUGUAUUUGAUAAUAGUGCAGAACAUAGACUAUAUGUUUAAGAAUUAUGUUGACAUGACCCAUUCUGAUCACGAACACAAUCAAGAAGUUCAUUGCAACUUCACUGCAACGUCAUUGCUAAGCCUGAAACAACACCUUUCAAGCCUGGGGAUUUUUCCAGCAAGCUCUUCUUCGCGGAACUAAUUCCAUGUUAUUUGUUCUUUGAAUGAUAGUAAUUAUUUAUGGUAAAAAGUGUACGUUUGGGUUAUCUACUGUGUGAAGUUUUCAGUUGUCUAAUUUAGAGAAAGUAAUUUAACGUUUGAAUUUUACUUGUUCUGCUAUUUUUCUGAAGGUAAGAUUCUCUUUCUGUAAAGAUUGGCCAUAUGUACUUCUGUUCAUGUUGCAGCUAGAGUUUCGGUAGAUAGAAUCAUGAAAGUAUUAUUUUGCCGUGCAUUGUAGUAGAAUCAGAGAAUUAGAUAUUUGAAUGUUGAAACUUGAAAUUCAGUACGAGUAUCAUAACUUUGAAUUGAUUGGAAUGGUUAUUUAACCCGGUUGCUUGCUUGGUUAAAAAAACAAAUUACUAUUAUUUCCGGAGUGUUAUCCUCAAGCAGUUCAUUGCUACCUCCACUGCAACUUCACUGCUAAGCCUGAAACAACACCUUUCAAGCCUGGGUUUUUUUUCCAGCAAGCUCUUUUUCGCGGAACUAAUGCCAGUUCAUCAUCCUGAUACCUCUUCCCUCACGGAUUGCAGUAUGGUAGAUGGUAAGGGCGUAAGGCCUCGAGUACUAUUUCUCUCGCAUAACAUGAAGGCUAACUUUCCAAAACCCAGAAGUGAGCUUAAUGUAUGUAUGUAGUGUUGUUUUCUUUUCCCUUUGAAAUGCUUGCUUAUUUAUCUAAUUUUGUAUUCUGACUUCUGUUACAUUGUGUUAACCUCAUUGUCUUGUAAGUCGUAUGUUUACAAAAGUAUUACCUGGCUUCUUUUAGUUCCCAUUCAUUGUAAGGUAUAUAACAUACGACCUGCAUGUCCUAGGGAAGCAAGACUUUAAGAAGGUUUGUAGUAAGUGGAAUUCAUUUGAUCUUGAUCAAUUUUAUAAGAUUCAUGAUUUGUCUUGCUUCUAAUUGCGGUGAUUGUUUUUCAGGUCGAAUAAACUGUUAAAGAGUGGCUGACUGUAUGUUUUUUGAGAAAAUGAGUGAUAUGAUUCCUUUCAUAUUUUAUUGUUUUGCAGAGUUCUUUCCUGUUAUUUGAAGGCGGAAAACAAAUGUGCAAGAAGAUUAAAAUUUUCACCAGUUCCCUCGGCAAAAAUUGGCAUUGGUUGCGGAUAUUAUGACUCUACAUUCAUCAACGACGAUCAUCGACCACAAGUCCACAAGCAUAUCUAUAUUCAAGAAGGUGUAUAUUUCAAGUAAUGGCCGAGUAAUCAAGAAAUCAAUGAAGUGGGAACUUAGUGCGUGGCCUUGUCAUGUUUCUGUUGUGUUUCGUAUGUAUAUUGUUUUUCCAGUGUACAAGAAUGGAUGCUAUACUUGGUCAAAGGCUAUGAGAUGCUUAUUGGAUACAAUUGAGUAAUGAAAGGGCUAUGUUGUUCUCGUUUAAA